rnacentral:rRNA from 1 species
CAGUCGCCGCGGGAACACGUAGGUGGCAAGCGUUGUCCGGAAUUAUUGGGCGUAAAGGGCUCGCAGGCGGUUUCUUAAGUCUGAUGUGAAAGCCCCCGGCUCAACCGGGGAGGGUCAUUGGAAACUGGGAAACUUGAGUGCAGAAGAGGAGAGUGGAAUUCCACGUGUAGCGGUGAAAUGCGUAGAGAUGUGGAGGAACACCAGUGGCGAAGGCGACUCUCUGGUCUGUAACCGACGCUGAGGAGCGAAAGCGUGGGGAGCGAACAGGAUUAGAUACCCCCGUAGUCCCUGUCUCUUAUAU